ensembl:lncRNA
GGACUAAAAUCUGUUAUCUUGCUAAUGAAGAACCUCUCUGAGGGAGCAAGAGACAAAUGCACUCACAUUCCCUAUUUACUCUAUUUUCUCUUUAUCCUUUACUUUUCUUGUUUUCCCUUGCUCUUUGUACUUUUCCUCACUUUCAGUAAUUAUUAUUCUAUAAUAUCCUUUCUUUGUUUGACUAACAUAUUAAGUAAAUAAAAUUUAUUUAACAUUGAGUAUGAUGGCUUCUAAUUCUCUUGGAAAUCAGUCUGAGAACUGACCUUUCAUAUCUUUCAUGGAAGAAGAAUUGAGAGACAUACAGGAGUAUGUAGAAUUGCAAAUCAAACAGACAUAUAUAAAGAAGGAUCAAGAGUACAUCAUGCACUAUUAAAUGAAGAUGGCAGAGGCAGAGAGACAUUCAAAAAGGUGUCAAAGCUCCAUGAUGGAUGAGAGAUAUAAAAAUUACAUGGGUUUGCGGAGUUCCCUGGUGGCUCAGGGGUAAAGAAGCUGCCUGCCAGUGCAGGAGACAUGGGUUUGAUCCCUGGUUCUUGAAGAUCCCACAUGCCAAGGAGCAACUAAGCCUGUGCACCACAACUACUGAGCCUGUGAUCUAGAACCCAGAACCAGAACUACUGAGCCAAUGAGCCAUACUACUGAAGCCCACACACCCGAGAGCCCCUGCUCCUCAACAGGAGAAGCUCCACAGUGGGAAGCCCACACACCACAACCGGAGAGUAGCCUCUGCUCCCCACACUAGAGAAAAAGCAGAGAAGAUCCAGCACAGCCAAAAUAAAUCAAUAAAUUUAAAAU